UACUUGACAUCCAAGAAGAAACACAAAGACGACGACGUUUCCGCGUCUUCGUCAACGUAACCGACACGUUUCUCUGUUUCUCCAAGAACGUCGCCUCUCACUUCAAUCCACCCGCCGUCAUCAACCGUAUCCCAAUCCGGAACGCUCGAAAACUCAUCUCCGGCGAGUUGCUUGAUUCUCUCAGCCGGUGAAUCCCAAAAAUCAGAGUAAUCAGCAAAAGGGUCAGUGACUUUUCGAGUCUUCGCAUGAACUCCAGAACCGUUGGUCCAACACAGUGCUCGUGCUCUGCAAACGAGACUCUCCGUCGUCGAGGAAAGGAUGUGGAUGUUUAAGCAACUCCUCCACCGUCCACCUCUGUUUCGGAUCAUUCUCCAAACAACUCACCAGAAAGUCCUUACCUUUCUCCGAUAUAACCUCCGGCGACUCGCCGGGAAUCUAAUCUUAUACAUUGCGGUAACGACGUCGUUUAGCUCCGGCCAAGAGGUCGAGCCAGUCAUCAUCUCGUGAACCCGGAUAAUCCAGAGUUUGAAACCGGUUUAGCGCAACCCAUAUCAGCGAUUUUGCAAACGACGCCGUUCUCUUCGACCAGCACGUUCUGGCUCUUCAAGUCGCAGUGUCAAAUUUAAUUGAAAUUAUUGAUAGAAAACUUCUUAAUUCUAGACGGCAGUGAUUGAAAGAAAAAAAAAAUUCAUGACAUGUCUUCACGGCUUAUCAGUCUAUACCAGUAUCUCAUGUUGAGACGCCUCUUGAUUCUUUCUGUAAUGUGUUUCAGGUUGCAAUAAAUGGACGUGUUUUAGGGGAAGGAGUUGGAUCAACAUGGGAGAAAGCUAGAGUGCAUGCUGCUGAGAGAGCACUGGGUAAUGUGAGACCAUUGCUUCAACGACAAGUAUCUUCAAGAUCGUUCGGUGGGAUGUCAAACAAGCGUCUGAAGCCAAACUUUCAACGGUCCAUGCAACGGAUGGCAUCUUCAGGAAGAUCCUCUUAACAAAAAUCAUGUCUGCAUUUUAAUUCCAUUGCCUCUUACUUUAAAAGCUGCAUAGACAAUGUCUUUGACAAGUUCCCUUUUGUUCCCCAAAUAGUUAACCAGUCACAGAGAGACAGAUUAUGCGUUUUUUUGUUUUGUGUAAUUACAUGUUUUAACUCAAGAUUUUUGUGUACUUUAUCAGACAUUCUGAGUAGAAGCUACACAGCUUGAGGGGCAAAGAGAAGACCUAAGCAUGCUUGUUUGGCUUCUUCUCAGGCUGUAAGUUACUCAGUAUAUAUCAGUAAACUGUUUAGGCUU